rnacentral:rRNA from 1 species
UAGCUGCAUUACUUGAACGUUAGCGUCAGAAGAAGCACCGGUCUAACUGCCGUGCCAGCAGCGUCAGUAUUCGGCGGUGCGAAGCAUUAUCGGAAAUUACUCGGCGUAAAGCGCAUGCAGGUGGUUUGUUAAGUCAGAUGUGAAAGCCCGGGGCUCAACCUCGGAAUGGCAUUGAAACUGGCAGACUAGAGUACUGUAGAGGGGGGGUAGAAUCUCAGGUGUAGCGGUGAAAUGCGUAGAGAUCUGAAGGAAUACCGGUGGCGAAGGCGGCCCCCUGGACAGAUACUGACACUCAGAUGCGAAAGCGUGGGGAGCAAACAGGAUUAGAUACCCUGGUAGUCCACGCCGUAAACGAUGUCUACUUGGAGGUUGUGGCCUUGAGCCGUGGCUUUCGGAGCUAACGCGUUAAGUAGACCGCCUGGGGAGUACGGUCGCAAGAUUAAAACUCAAAUGAAUUGACGGGGGCCCGCACAAGCGGUGGAGCAUGUGGUUUAAUUCGAUGCAACGCGAAGAACCUUACCUACUCUUGACAUCCAGAGAACUUUCCAGAGAUGGAUUGGUGCCUUCGGGAACUCUGAGACAGGUGCUGCAUGGCUGUCGUCAGCUCGUGUUGUGAAAUGUUGGGUUAAGUCCCGCAACGAGCGCAACCCUUAUCCUUGUUUGCCAGCGAGUAAUGUCGGGAACUCCAGGGAGACUGCCGGUGAUAAACCGGAGGAAGGUGGGGACGACGUCAAGUCAUCAUGGCCCUUACGAGUAGGGCUACACACGUGCUACAAUGGCGCAUACAGAGGGCAGCCAACUUGCGAAAGUGAGCGAAUCCCAAAAAGUGCGUCGUAGUCCGGAUUGGAGUCUGCAACUCGACUCCAUGAAGUCGGAAUCGCUAGUAAUCGUGGAUCAGAAUGCCAUGGUGAAUACGUUCCCGGGCCUUGUACACACCGCCCGUCACACCAUGGGAGUGGGCUGCAAAAGAAGUAGUGUAGUUUAACCUUCGGGGGGACGC